ensembl:lincRNA
CAAAUAUAUGAAGAAGAAAAACACUCAAUUUGGGAAAAAGAAUCAUGCUGUUUAACACCUUGGCAUAGAUUCUACCUUGCCUGCCUGGCUCAUUCAGACUGUUACAAGCUUCACGAAGCUCGAUUAUGUGGCCUGUAGUUUAUUUUUCCUGUUUUCAGUUAAUAAUGAGAAUAUUUCCACCUAGAUACCUAACGCUCUACCAAUAUUCUUAAACCGUUGCAAAUGAAUCUGUUCUGUGGCUGUGCCUUAAUCUGAUCACCCAUUCCCCAGGGUCAGUCACCUCCAGUUGCUUUUGCUACUGUGACCACAGUCUCCUUACUCCCAGCCUUUAUCAUCUCUUAAAACAGUAUCUUGGAAAGACCAUGGUGGGUUGAAGGAAACUGAGUCUUUUAUGAUGUUCUCUGUGUGCUGCCAAAAGUCCUGGGCUGUUUUUCUCUUAUGACUUUGUGAUAUUUAGAAAGUUGAUCAUGUCCCUAAUUUAGGCAUCUCCAAGUUGUAAUCCACCAAAUACCUCUAGCGUCCUGGCCAUCCCUCUUCCGGCUAGCUGCCCCUCCCCCCUUUCCUUGUACGAUCCCUGAUCCUUGUGUAUAUCCACAGGGCUCCAGCAUCUGCCCCGGAGGAAUUGGAAUGGUGGGUAGGACCCAUAGAGAAUAGUAAUGCAUGGGUAUACAUGUCACCCUGCCCCCCGGUAUUUAGAAUGUAGUUUUAUAAAAUUUCCUGGCCCCACCCACUCUCACUCAUGCACAUGACAGGGGCCCUGACUGUUCAGAAGCUUCAGGUUAAUCUUCUGGCUUACAACCAAAUUCUAGUUUCUCCACCUGGUCUUGUGACUUGCCUCCUGUCCCUUUUCCCUCUCCACAGUCACCCCCCACUUUGUCUACGCUCUAAUUACAGUGACCUUUUGCUGUUCUGCAGAAUGUCAAGCUCCUUCCUAAUCAUGGCUUUCAAAUACAGGAAUGGCUUCCUUCACUGGUGGCCACUUACCUUUCCCUUACUCCUCCACCUUUGGGGCCCAGCCAGCGCCCCCAGAACUGAUGAUGUCAUCCAGCUGGCUGCUCCUGCAGACCUGGGACACCCACCCUUAGCUGAUUCUUCCGGUCAUGGUGACAAUGCCAGCUCAGACUCUACACAUCUGACAGUCCAGAGGUACAGUAGAAACAUGGCUGGGGCUGCCUGAGCCCAGGCCCCAUGGGUUCUCCUUCCUUCUCUUCCCUUGUCCCCUGCAUACUCCUCUCACAGUGUCUGUAUACCUGUCCUAAACACAGUUGGCGUGUGUCAGGGCUUAGCUUCAUGUAGCUUUAAUUGUACUCUGAAAGAACACUGGAAGCCCUCCAGAGUGUAUGUGCUGUUUCAGGAUGUGGUUUAGGGAACUGGCUACCUGCUGGCUGCCUGGGACACCAGCUAGGCCGGCUGCUUGUUUUCUUCUGUCUUUGGUAAGGAUCAGAGAACAGAGGAGUCAGCAGAGCAUGGGAGGAGGAACCAGGCUCACAGCUCGAGUGGCAUGGAAGGCACAGUGCAGGACCAUACAGCAGCUGGUUACUUAGUGCCCAUGGUCAGGAAGCAGAGAGAGGUGAGCUCCAGUGCUCUACCACUGCCUCUAAUGGCAUAGGACCAACCAUAGUUAGGGUAGCCUUCCCUCUUCAGUUAACCCAUCAAGAAAGUCCCUCCCAGUCCUGCCCAGAGACUUGUGUCCUCGGUGGUUCUAGAUCCUGUCCAAGUUGACAAUGUUAACUGACAAAGUCUCUGACUGUACACAUCUUAACUUAUAUUCAUAGUCUCCAUCUGUACACAUUCUAAUGUAUACUUAUGUCUAUAAAGCCACUGCGUUUUACCAGAUCCUCUAUAGCAUUGGGGAAACCUAGGUGAGCAGGACAGAGAAGGGACUUUGCAUCCUGGAAGCUGGUGCCUCAGGCCUCUCCCCCUAAUCCCCUUCUCUGUUCCCCCCCCCCCCCCCCCCGUAUUUUGAUAGAUUGACUGAUCAAAGUCUUCCCAGAGGCUUUCUCGAGAACCUCCAAUGGUUUAGUGUUGGCUGACUUGUAUUUGUGAACUUCAUAGAACUUUGCUGUGAAUGACAAGCAGCAAAUGGACUAGCCCCGCCCACCUGUUGGAGUGGCCAAGAAGUAUGUCAAAAGUGACCCUCUUCCCCUUCCUGCUUAGAGUAGGACGGAGGUAAAGGAGGAUAUGUGGUAGGGGACAUGGUUUGCCUUCUGAAGAAACAAGGCUUGCUAUUUGUUCAACUUGUGUGACCAUGUUUGUGGAGUGUGAAAAAACUUUUAUUGUCCCUAGAUAGAGUGCCAAAAACACAACCAAAGUCCAAGUUUGUGAAUCACCGAGUUUUACUGGGUUUGCUUUCAGGAGUCUGGGUGAGGGGUUACAGGAGCAGAAAUGACUCAAAGACAGCUGUGUCACUAAAGCCUACCCCAGUGUGGGUGACAGCUCAUGAAAGCUGGAAACCUAGAGCCCACUGCACAGCCUACAGGCAGCUCAACAGGCAGGGUGGAGACAGUUGCUUUGAGCGUCUUUCAACUGUCUUUACUGCUAUAGAUACUUAGGAUGAGGAACCUAGUGAUUCUGGUCAGUUUCAGGGGCUUCUGAACUGAAACUUUUGAGUUGUCUACUUCCUGACUUUUAAGGAGCUUCCCUGUAGGAUGGGAUGUUUCAUCUUCCUUUAGUGUGGCAGAUCUCAACCUGUGGGUUGUGACCCCUUUGGGGGUUGAAUGACCCUUUCUUGGGGUCACAUAUCAGGUAUCCUGCCUAUCAAAUAUUUACAUGACGAUUCUUUUUAAAAAGUUGGGGUUUUUUUGUUGUUUUUUUGUUUGUUUGUUUGUUUUACUUAUUAGUAUACAGUGCUAUGUCUGCCUGUAGUCCAGAAGAGGGUACCAGAUCUCAUUACAGAUGGUGGUGACCCACCAUGUGGUUGUUGGGAAUUGAACUCAGGACCUCUGGAAGAGCAGCCAAAGCUCUUAACUGCUGAACCGUCUCUCUAACCCUACAAUAUGAUUCAUAAUUGUAGCAAAAUGACAGUAAUGAAGUAGCAAUGAAAUAGUUUUAUGGUUGGGGGUCACCACAACAUGAGGAACUGUAUAAAGGGUUGCAGUGUUAGGAAGGCUGAGAACCACUGAUCUAGAACAUCCUAGUCACAAGUGUUUUAUAUCUGAGGAGUUUGCUACACAACAGAAUUUAAAAUAAAAAACUUUUUUUUGUUGUUUUUUGUUUUUUCGAGACAGGGUUUCUCUGUGUAGCUUUGGAGGUUGUCCUGGAACUCACUCUGUAGACCAGGCUGGCCUCGAACUCACAGAGAUCUGCCUGCCUCUGCCUCCCGAGUGCUGGGAUUAAAGGCGUGUGCCACCAAUGCCCGGCUAAAAUAAAAAACUUUUUAAAAAGCGUUUUUUUUUUUUUUUAGACCAGAUCUCACUAUGUCGCCCUGGCUAUCCCUGAACUAUUGAUUUAGACCAGGCUGAAACCCAGAGAUCUAAUGCCUCUGCCUUCUGAGUGCUUAAAAAAACAAACAAACAAACAAACAAAAAAAAACUCACAACUUUUUUUUAUAUAUAUUUUUAAUUAAAAAAGUGUGUGUGUGUGUGUGUGUGUGUGUGUGUGUGUGUGUGUAAGUGUGACAUGUGUGUAGG